UACGUAGGGCGCAAGCGUUAUCCGGAAUUAUUGGCGUAAAGAGCUCGUAGGCGGUUUGUCGCGUCUGCCGUGAAAGUCCGGGGCUCAACUCCGGAUCUGCGGUGGGUACGGGCAGACUAGAGUGAUGUAGGGGAGACUGGAAUUCCUGGUGUAGCAGUGAAAUGCGUAGAUAUCAGGAGGAAUACCGAUGGCGAAGGCAGGUCUCUGGGCUGACACUGACGCUCAUGCACGAAGCGUGGGGAGCAAACAGG
rnacentral:rRNA from 1 species